GACGAACGCUGGCGGCGUGCUUAACACAUGCAAGUCGAACGAUGAACCCGGAGCUUGCUCCGGUGGAUUAGUGGCGAACGGGUGAGUAACACGUGAGUAACCUGCCCUUGACUCUGGGAUAACUGCGGGAAACUGUAGCUAAUACCGGAUACGACCCUCGGCGGCAUCGCCAGGGGGUGGAAAGAAUUUCGGUCAAGGAUGGACUCGCGGCCUAUCAGCUAGUUGGUGAGGUAACGGCUCACCAAGGCGACGACGGGUAGCCGGCCUGAGAGGGUGACCGGCCACACUGGGACUGAGACACGGCCCAGACUCCUACGGGAGGCAGCAGUGGGGAAUAUUGCACAAUGGGCGCAAGCCUGAUGCAACAACGCCGCGUGAGGGAUGACGGCCUUCGGGUUGUAAACCUUUUUUAGUAGGGAAGAAGCGAAAGUGACGGUACCUGCGGAAAAAGCACCGGCUAACUACGUGCCAGCCGCCGCAGUAA
rnacentral:rRNA from 1 species